AGGUCAGCUAACCCUACUGCCCUGCAGGCAGGCAGGCAUGGCUGUGAGGGGCGCGAGUCACUCCUUGGGAAGGGCUUUCCUGAAGGCCCCGGCAGACCGAGGGGCACCUGCUGAGCCACCCACGCCGGCCUCAAGGUCCAACAGUGACAGGACUAGGUUGCCCUGAGAUUCAGAGAGUGCUGGGUUCUUUUUGGGCAGUUCCACGCCCAUGGACUCCAGGUUUCCCGUGUGGCUUUUUGAAAUGCACCGAAGAUGGGCUGGAGCCAUUUGUGGGAUCUCAGUGGCUGGCAGGAGGCCGAGCACUUCCUGAGUUGGAAGACUUAGUAUGGAGGCAGCGCAAGGACAAGAAAAACAA